UCACGCUGAGAGAACCUUUGGAAAUUGAACAUGAGACAAUUUCCAAAUGACCUCAACACACGUGAAUCUCAUGACGGACUGCAUACACAAACCUGACCAGGAGUAAACCUUCCAACAGUUGUAACAUGAGUGGACAGCCGUGCAAGUACACCUGACUAUAUUUUUUCAUCACCGUACAUAUUAUGCAGUGUGUCAGUAGUCAGUACACGUGGAGCUGACUGAGGUGUGAAGGUGAUGCGCGCUGUGCUGCUGCUGCUGUGUUGCGCUGGUGGUGGAGGACGAGGACGAGGACUGGAGGAGGAGGCUUUCUAUGGCAUUGUAGUCUAGUUAAAAAGAGGUGUUCAGAUACAAGUGUCAUUGGCGGGCGUUGGUGUGGUGAAGGCCUAACUAAGUCAGGCAGAGCAGUGAGUGAUUGUGGCGGCGUCACGGGCUCACGGCUGUCUCCAGUCUCCACCUCCACGCAAGCGUCACUUGACCCAUGUUGUGAGUGUUUCGCUGUUUAUUGUGAGGGUUAUCAGUGUUUUCAAUGUGUAAUGCGGUGUUGUGCGCGGUUUUGAGUGUUUGGGGGGUUUUGAGUGUUUUCAUUAAUAUUAAUUGGUGUGUUUUGGGCAGCAGCAGGUGGUGGCGGCGGCGGCGGCGGUGUGUGUUCGGUGGCCGCAACGGC